rnacentral:tRNA from 1 species
GGGACCGUGGUGUAGGGGUAAACGUGGUUGCCUCUCACCCAGUCGGCUUGGGUUCGAUUCCAGACGGUCUCG